rnacentral:rRNA from 1 species
AGUGGCGAACGGGUGAGUAANNCAUCGGAACGUGUCCAAGAGUGGGGGAUAACGCAUCGAAAGAUGUGCUAAUACCGCAUAUUCUCUACGGAGGAAAGCAGGGGAUCGNAAGACCUUGCGCUUUUGGAGNGGCCGAUGCCUGAUUAGCUAGUUGGUGGGGUAAAGGCCUACCAAGGCAACGAUCAGUAGUUGGUCUGAGAGGACGACCAGCCACACUGGGACUGAGACACGGCCCAGACUCCUACGGGAGGCAGCAGUGGGGAAUUUUGGACAAUGGGCGCAAACNUGAUCCAGCAAUGCCGCGUGAGUGAAGAAGGCCUUCGGGUUGUAAAGCUCUUU